UUAACUACUUAAUUUAUCAUCUCUAUAGAUCGAUAUUAUACACAUUAUUGUCACUAAUUUAAGCGAAAAGCAAUCUGGAUUGUGAUCAAAGUAAAUCUCCACAAGAUUAAAUGUUUUUUAAAGCUAUUUUAAAGGCUCUCAGAACGGUAAACCUUUAAACUUAUUCAAGGCGUAAUAUAUUGAUCAUAAAUACAAUAAAUCAGCCAAUGGAUGUGGAGCAGCUGUUUAUUUGACCGCGAGAAUCUCAUCAAACUAAAUAAAUAACUUCUGUCAUGGUGAAGAAGGAGUGACGAAAAUAAUUGGAACAUAAUUUUUCCGUGUGUUGUGAAUGAAUAACAUUUAAUAAUUUCAAGCGCUUUCCACCCAGAUUUUGCAUGAAUAAUAAGUAGACGUGGUUUUAAUCACCCUUUGUGGAGUAUGUCCGGACGAUUCAAUUAAUUUAUUAUUGCACAAUAUCAAUGGAAAUCGAACGAAAAUUGCAACGUGUGCUAUGUGUUUUUUAAGUUUCUAAUCAUUCAGUUGAUUUCAGUUAUUCCUCGGAUACACUCGCUUUUAACAAACAAGCAUUGCCAUGAUUAAAGAAAUAAAAAAAUCAUGGAAAUACAAAACACCUCUACAAAAAUUGACUACCUUGUACAAUUAUGUUCGCGUAUCUGGAGAUUAUUUGCAUCUCGGUGUGCUUAGCGAUCAAAAACUCGGACCUAUUGGAUAUAUACCGUGCAUGAGUGGAACUGUACACUACUUUUUACUGUUUUAUACCGUGUACUUUCACAUAAGUCGUGGCCGUUUUGAGGAGUGUGUGCCAAGUUUUUGCAUUUUUGGAAUUAUGAAUGCAGCAUAUACAAGUUAUAUGAUAUUUUGGGGGGAAAGCAUGUACGUAACGUAUAGAUUGCUUAAUACUUCCAGAAGACACAUUUACCGUGACAAUCGGGAGUCAACAAAGUACAAUCAAAUUUGUGAAGAAAGCAUUAGCUAUUCUAUUAAAGCGUACGGCAUAAGGAUGUUGGUGAUAAUGAUUUCAUUUGUUGGAGCAAGUGCUGGACCAUUCUAUCGAUAUCUUGACGAUGGAAUAUUGGUUACGCUUUAUUCACUGAAAUUGCCAUACUUUCACGAUGAUUUACACACGGAAUUUAUGAUAAAUACAUUUUGGCAAUUUUUUAUCAGCAUAUAUGGCGGUUUGGCACUCUUUCUCAUAGAAGGUUUACUCACUUUGAUCGAUGACACCGUUACCGUUUCAUCGAAUUUGUGUCUAAUGGAAUUCGAAGAACUAUCAGAUUGUCUCGAAAAUGAAUCGGUAACCAUUCAUGAAUCACGUGAAAAACUAAAGAAUGUCUUCAUGAAAAUUGCAUACAGUGAUGAAUACAUCAAAUCUAUUGGAAAUAUUUUGUAUUGGAGACAAUUUUUGUCUCCACCGACGUUUUCUCUUUCAAUAGCAAUAUCAAUUUAUUCCCAAAAAAUGAUGAACUAUCCGGCUGGAUAUGGAUUGGCGGUCGUUUCUUACAUUCAAAUGGCUGUCAUGUGUGUUAUGGGACAGAAUAUUUCGGAUCGAGUAUAAUGAUCGUUUAGUCACAGCAAUUUACGACUUUAAAUGGUAUCUUUUAUCAAAAGACGAUCAAAAGGAUGUACUACAUAUGCUUCUCCGACUUCAGAAUGAGGUCCCUUUAACAAUCGGACCAUUUGAGGAAUUAAAUUUUGAAACUUUAAAAAAUCUUAGCCAAAAGGUCUACUCAUUUUUGAUGUUUUUGAUCAACUUUAGCCAAUAGAGAAACCACUGUUGC